CGCGGCCUAUCAGCUUGUUGGUGGGGUGAUGGCCUACCAAGGCGACGACGGGUAGCCGGCCUGAGAGGGCGACCGGCCACACUGGGACUGAGACACGGCCCAGACUCCUACGGGAGGCAGCAGUGGGGAAUAUUGCACAAUGGGCGGAAGCCUGAUGCAGCGACGCCGCGUGAGGGAUGACGGCCUUCGGGUUGUAAACCUCUUUCAGCAGGGACGAAGCGUGAGUGACGGUACCUGCAGAAGAAGCGCCGGCCAACUACGUGCCAGCAGCCGCGGUAAGACGUAGGGCGCGAGCGUUGUCCGGAUUUAUUGGGCGUAAAGAGCUCGUAGGCGGCUUGUCGCGUCGACUGUGAAAACCCACGGCUCAACCGCGGGCUUGCAGUCGAUACGGGCAGGCUAGAGUUCGGUAGGGGAGACUGGAAUUCCUGGUGUAGCGGUGAAAUGCGCAGAUAUCAGGAGGAACACCGGUGGCGAAGGCGGGUCUCUGGGCCGAUACUGACGCUGAGGAGCGAAAGCGUGGGGAGCGAACAGGAUUAGAUACCCUGGUAGUCCACGCUGUAAACGUUGGGCGCUAGGUGUGGGGGGCCUCUCCGGUUCUCUGUGCCGCAGCUAACGCAUUAAGCGCCCCGCCUGGGGAGUACGG
rnacentral:rRNA from 1 species